rnacentral:misc_RNA from 1 species
CAUACCAUCUGAGUGUACAUGUAUGAAACUCUAGCACUUCUUGCUCAUCAAUUCUUUGGAUGAGUCGAAAGGUUUUUACAGAUGGCCAGAACUCAAGCUCUAAAAUCAAAACCAAAACAAGGAGCAAUUGGAAGUUUGGGAUAAGCUUUAGUUGUCACAUAGAAACAUUUCCAAUAUACAACACUUUAAAAGGAUUGGAAUGUUCCAAAACAAACAGGAAAUUCUCUCUUUAUACAAGUGACAUGCUUUUUUUCUACUUUCGGAUUGAAAGAAACUCGAAGCUCCGAAGAGGGUCAUCACGUGUCCCCUUACGUGAGAAUGGUGAUGGUUUUGGUUCGAUACCUGAAUGAAUUCUGUGUGUGGUAGACACACGCCCAUUGCUUGACACUAGUCUGCUCGAUCGACUAUCAGUGAUGGUGGGAUCACCAGAAGAGCUUGGUCUACUGCUAGAAAUGGCAGCCCUUUUUGAAGAGCUUCCGUUUCUCAAAGUACGGCCUCUUUCUGAAUCAGCUUGCACAUCUUUAGAUGAAGUCAUGUCCUCUGAAGUCUUUUGUCUGGAGUGUUCCCCAUGCUUUCCCGUACCAGAAGCAUUCCUUCUAGAAAAUGCUUCAACAGCACCAGAAAAUCUGUCUCGAAUAUCUUGUCCGACUGAUGUCCGUCCUGGUCUUUCAGCAGAUGGCCCAGCAUUUAGUCCG